UACGGAGGGUGCGAGCGUUGUCCGGAAUCACUGGGCGUAAAGGGCGCGUAGGCGGCCUGGCAAGUCGAUGGUGAAAGCCCCGAGGCUCAACUUCGGGUCGGCCACUGAUACUGCUGGGCUUGAGUCGACUAGAGGCAGAUGGAAUUCCUGGUGUAGCGGUGAAAUGCGCAGAUAUCAGGAGGAACACCGGUGGCGAAGGCGGGUCUCUGGGCCGAUGACUGACGUGGAGGAGCGAAAAGCGUGGG
rnacentral:rRNA from 1 species